AGAGUUUGAUCCUGGCUCAGGAUGAACGCUAGCUACAGGCUUAACACAUGCAAGUCGAGGGGCAGCAUGGGGGUUGCUCGCAACCCCUGAUGGCGACCGGCGCACGGGUGAGUAACGCGUAUCCGACCUUCCCGCGGCAGGGGCAUAACCCGGUGAAAGCCGGACUAAUUCCCCGUGGUCCCCACACAGGGCAUCCUUCGUGGGGUAUAGGACUCGUCCGGCCGCGGACGGGGAUGCGUCCGAUUAGCUAGUUGGCGGGGUAACGGCCCACCAAGGCACCGAUCGGUAGGGGUUCUGAGAGGAAGGCCCCCCACAUUGGGACUGAGACACGGCCCAAACUCCUACGGGAGGCAGCAGUGAGGAAUAUUGGUCAAUGGGCGCGAGCCUGAACCAGCCAAGUAGCGUGGAGGACGACGGCCCUACGGGUUGUAAACUCCUUUUGCGCGGGGAUAAAGUGCGCGACGUGCUCGCGCAUUGCAGGUACCGCGCGAACAAGGACCGGCCAAUUCCGUGCCAGCAGCCGCGGUAAUACGGAAGGUCCGGGUGUUAUCCGGAUUUAUUGGGUUUAAAGGGAGCGCAGACUGCCUGUCAAGCGUGCAGUGAAACGCCGCGGCCCAACCGCGGCCCUGCUGCGCGAACUGGCGGGCUUGAGUGGGCUGGAGGCACGCGGAAUUCGUGGUGUAGCGGUGAAAUGCUCAGAUAUCACGAGGAACCCCGAUUGCGAAGGCAGCGUGCCGCGUCCCUACUGACGUUGAGGCUCGAAGGUGCGGGUAUCGAACAGGAUUAGAUACCCUGGUAGUCCGCACGGUAAACGAUGGAUGCCCGCUCCCGGCGACACACUGCCGGGGGCCAAGCGAAAGCGUUAAGCAUCCCACCUGGGGAGUACGCCGGCAACGGUGAAACUCAAAGGAAUUGACGGGGGCCCG
rnacentral:rRNA from 1 species